rnacentral:miRNA from 2 species
CAAUGGGGUACGAGUUUCCUUC